rnacentral:misc_RNA from 1 species
UGUGGACCAAUAUUACCCAUAAUCUACCAUCUUUUUGGACCAUCCUUAAUAAGAAAUAACUUUAGAAUACCAAUCUCAAAACAUACAGUGAUUUCUGUCCUGUGUCUAGGCAUAUUAAUUUCUAUCACUUAUGUGUAUAAAUGAAUAUAUAUAUAUAUAUAUAUGGUAGACAUCAUCUUCUUCUCACUGGAAAUCAAAGAUCUGAGUUUUAUUGAUCGUCAUUCAUGAAUGUAUGAGAUGUUACUGCAGUGGAAACAUACUCAUCCGGCUUAUUCUACUUUGGCUGGAAGGAACAUAUCAGAUCAGCUAGAGCAUUGACCUGGAAUCUUACUCAAGCUAGUUUGGCCAUCAAACUGUAUUACAACAAACAUUCUCAAAACAAACGAAUGAUUGUACACAGGGACUUGCGGACAGAUUUCCUCAUAAUCAGUGUAGAACCCUUACAACUAGUCAUUUAUCUAUAGUAGCUACUUCUUGUACCUUGUGCUUCAAAGUUAGAAUCUUGAAGAGAUCUGAGAGGUGGUCAACCUGCAAAACUGAUUACACCGCGCCGUUAUCUGUUGUUUUGAGUUGCUGAUUGUUAUUGCUUAUUAUUCAAAAUUAUGUCACAAUCUAUUUUGAAUUUUUGGCAAUUAAUGCAGGCUUUGAUUUUGCGCUUAUAAAUGUUAUAUUAUAUACAUAAUAUACUUGUUGAAGUAAUGUUGUUAUAUUUACAGGUAGAAUGUAAUUUAAAAUGUAUAUUUUGAAUUGUUUUUGAAACUGCAUGUCAGUGCGUGAUAUCUCAGACCUGCAGAUUGCAUUUGUAGACGGCAUGUCUGUUUGAUACAACUGGUAUUUGUAAACAAAUACAAGCUUUUUGACUGAAGAUUACAGUAAUCCAGAUUAGAUAUGGAUCCUAACAUUGGAUGAUUUAUUUUAGAAAAAAAAAUUUACUUGUCGACCAUAGUAUAUGUACGGUACCUAUGUAGCAGAUCUGAUAUUAAAGGUGUUCAAAAAGUUGUUUUAGCAUGGUUAUGAGAUAUACAUGUGUAUACCCCUUUACAAUCAAGUUUGCAAGUGUGUGUACAUGUAUGUGUGGGAUAAGGUAAAAUGAUUUUUUUACUUUCAAACAAAGAAACUAGAUCUGCUUCCUGGUGCUCUUUUUAACUAUUUAAGAAAACAAGAUAUUUCUCUCAGUUCUAUAUAGUUCUAGUUGGAAAUGCAGCAAUAAUUUUAACAUGUUUUUUUGUGAUUGAAAGGUUGCUGCUACUUGCUAGAGUGCAGAUGGUAUGAGAGACAAAAUAUCUAAGAAAUGAUUUAAUUUACACCUUUAAUAUCAGAAUUUUGUAAAUGUUAGCAAAACAAAACCGUUUUGUAUAUGAAUUAGAAGACUACCAGUUUUUAACAAGUUAAUAAAAAUAAUUUAAAAAAUG